ACAUUACGACAAAUGUUGUCUGUUUUAUAUCUCUUUCAAUCUGUAUGGUAUAGAGAGAAUGUAAUUCUGUUGGUGUGAUCUUGAGUAGAAAUGCCCAGAUCUUUCUCAGUAAUUGAAGACUAAAUUGGCCAAAAUAAUCACUUUAUACCUUGGAUGAUUAGAUUAUCAUGGGUUUCAGAUGCAGAUUCAGAUUGAUGAUUAAUUUAAGAAAUGAAGUACAGAAGAAUUAUUUUAGCAUUUUUACAGUGUUUCUGCCUUGGAAAAUUGAAGAAAGACUUGAAAAUCUAACAGCUUAUUUGGAGGAGCUUUUUGAGGGAAAGGUAUGGAUUUUUAAAGUACCCUGCCUAUUUGGGAAGAAAGCUUUCAAAACCUUCAAAACCCUCACUUUUUCAGCUUUGGUGGUUGUGAAGUUUUUCUUACCUUACCUUCCAUUACCUUUUCUUAACUUACUUUAUAAACCCUUUCCUCACUCAUCCAAAUACAAUCUAACUCCAAGUCUUGGAAAACUAAG
rnacentral:misc_RNA from 1 species